rnacentral:rRNA from 1 species
CAGUAGCCGCGGUAAGACAGAGGAUGCAAGCGUUAUCCGGAAUGAUUGGGCGUAAAGAGCUCGUAGGCGGUUUGUCGCGUCUGCCGUGAAAGUCCGGGGCUCAACCCCGGAUCUGCGGUGGGUACGGGCAGACUAGAGUGAUGUAGGGGAGACUGGAAUUCCUGGUGUAGCGGUGAAAUGCGCAGAUAUCAGGAGGAACACCGAUGGCGAAGGCAGGUCUCUGGGCAUUAACUGACGCUGAGGAGCGAAAGCAUGGGGAGCGAACAGGAUUAGAUACCCCUGUAGUCCCUGUCUCUUAUAC